rnacentral:lncRNA from 1 species
UGUGACUCAAGCCUUACAAUUGUAUCCUUUGUGCAGAUCCCAGAAGAUGAAAUGGUAGUUCCAGAGCUUGACAGAGCGCUCCUCUUUCUGCAUCCAAUACAGAUGAAGUAUCCAAAGCACAACUUUAAUAUUGGAAGUAGAAACUGACUCUAUGAAGGUUAUCUUUUCCAAUGCCAGAUCGCAACUGUUGUCUCCCGUCAGGUGAGUGGGCUAACAUAAAACAGAGUGGUUUUUGUGUUUGUUUGUGUGGUUUUUUUGUGUG